rnacentral:piRNA from 1 species
UACUAUCAUCACAAGGCGACGACAUCAU